UACGGAGGGUGCAAGCGUUAUCCGGAUUUACUGGGUUUAAAGGGUGCGUAGGCGGCUUUUUAAGUCAGUGGUGAAAUCCUAGUGCUUAACACUAGAACGGCCGCUGAUACUGGGAGGCUUGAGUCAAGGAGGGGUAAGCAGAAUUUAUGGUGUAGCAGUGAAAUGCUUAGAUACCAUAAGGAAUACCAAUAGCGAAGGCAGCUUACUGGCCUUGUACUGACGCUGAGGCACGAAAGCGUGGGGAGCAAACAGG
rnacentral:rRNA from 1 species